rnacentral:rRNA from 10 species
UAACGACUCUCGGCAACGGAUAUCUCGGCUCUCGCAUCGAUGAAGAACGUAGCGAACUGCGAUACUUGGUGUGAAUUGCAGAAUCCCGUGAACCAUCGAGUCUUUGAACGCAAGUUGCGCCCGAAGCCAUUCGGUCGAGGGCACGUUUGCCUGGGUGUCA